rnacentral:lncRNA from 1 species
GGGGGUCGCGGCUCCCCCAAAAUGAGGCGGGUGGGGCUCAGUGCCCCCCCCAGGGCCUGCAGUAAUGGGGGGGGGUGCAGAUCCCGAUGGAGCAGCGCCACCACUCGCCCCGCCCCCAUGGCGGCCCUCAGUUUCCUCCCAGCCACGUGGGGGCGCUCUCGCAGCAGGGCGGCGCUCAGGGAAUCCAACACUACCAUCGAGUUGGGCCCGGCCCCAUUGCAGCCCCA